UACGAGGGGGGCGAGCGUUGUUCGGAUUCAUUGGGCGUAAAGGGUGCGUAGGUGGCGCCAUAAGUCAGGUGUGAAAUCUCGGGGCUCAGCUCCGAAACUGCACUUGAUACUGUGGUGCUCGAGUACUGGAGAGGAGAUUGGAAUUUACGGUGUAGCAGUGAAAUGCGUAGAUAUCGUAAGGAAGACCAGUGGCGAAGGCGAAUCUCUGGACAGUUACUGACACUGAGGCACGAAGGCCAGGGGAGCAAACGGG
rnacentral:rRNA from 1 species